rnacentral:rRNA from 1 species
GAUUAUUCUCCGCGCGCGGCGGGCGGGGCGGGGGCACGGGGGGACUCCUACGGGAGGCAGCAGUGGGGAAUAUUGGACAAUGGGCGCAAGCCUGAUCCAGCCAUACCGCGUGGGUGAAGAAGGCCUUCGGGUUGUAAAGCCCUUUUGUAGGGAAAGAAAUCCAGCUGGCUAAUACCCGGUUGGGAUGAUGGUACCCAAAGAAUAAGCACCGGCUAACUUCGUGCCAGCAGCCGCGGUAAU